GAUCACUCAUCCAGUUCUAGUGUUUGUUACACGUCACGUCUCUUCACAUGUAACAUUCAGUCUGUGUUCGUAGUCUGGGUUCCGUGUGGGUUGUCUGGGUUCAUGUGGGUAGUCUAGGUAGUCUGGGUUCCGUGUGGGUAGUCUGGGUUCCGUGUGGGUAGUUCUGGGUAGUCUGGGUCCCAUGUGAGUAGUCUGGGUUCCGUGUGGGUAGUCUGGGUAGUCUGGGUUCCAUGUGGGUAGUCUGGGUUCCGUGUGGGUAGUCUGGGUUCCAUGUGGGUAGUCUGGGUUCCGUGUGUGUAGUCUAGGUAGUCUGGUUCCGUGUGGGUAGUCUGGGUUCCGUGUGGGUAGUCUAGGUAGUCUGGGUUCCGUGUGGGUAGUCUGGGUUCCGUGUGUGUAGUCUGGGUUCCAUGUGGGUAGUCUGGGUUCCGUGUGGGUAGUCUGGGUUCCGUGUGGGUAGUCUGGGUUCCGUGUGGGUGGUCUGGGUUCCGUGUGUGUAGUCUGGGUUCCAUGUGGGUAGUCUGGGUUCCGUGUGUGUAGUCUAGGUAGUCUGGGUUCCGUGUGGGUAGUCUGGGUUCCGUGUGGGUAGUCUGGUUUCCGUGUGGGUAGUCUGGGUUCCGUGUGGGUAGUCUAGGUAGUCUGGGUUCCGUGUGGGUAGUCUAAGUAGUCUGGGUUCCGUGUGGGUAGUCUGGGUUCCAUGUGGGUAGUCUGGGUUCUGUGUGGGUAGUCUGGGUUCCAUGUGGGUAGUCUAGGUAGUCUGGGUUCCGUGUGGGUAGUCUAGGUAAUCUGGGUUCCGUGUGUGUAGUCUGGGUUCCGUGUGUGUAGUCUGGGUUCCGUGUGUGUAGUCUGGGUUCCGUGUGUGUAGUCCUGUUUCUGGGUUGUGUUUGUGUAACGUUGCUGUAUUUGGAGGGUUCCUGGUGGAGACUGUCUGACUGACAUUGCCUACGUU